GGCUGGUUCAAGUGCGGUGAUGUUUACAACUAAUUGAUGACAACCAGUUACAGAUUUCUUUGUUCCUUCUCUGCUCCCACUGCUUUAUUUGACUAGUGUUAA
ensembl:misc_RNA Y_RNA Y RNA